CAAAAGAUAUUCUGAUCGAGACCCUCCGAGAUAAAUUGAAAAUGAAACUGAUGUUCAAAGCUUAAAUGAUAUUUAUUCGAUUAGAACUCUUACUCAAGUACUUGAGGUACAAGAUUUAGGAAAUUGGUUAAGAUUGGUGGUUAUGGUACACAGAAGAAUCAAGAUUGUUAAUCAAAUUUUUGAGGAUGCCAAUCCAAAAGUAGAACAUGAUGACGCAGUAACAAGGUUAACUGGAGAUCAUUGCUUAAAAAAAAAAUAGAGAAUAGAAUUAUAGAACUGAGAAAAUAAAAAAGAUCAAUGAAACAAGCUCUACGGAAAUAAAAUUGCAAGUACAUGUGAGUCUGAAAAGAAUACAGAAAAACCAUUAGUUUCAUCAAUUCCUCAGUCUAGUAGUCAACCUAUAUUAAUGACUUCCGACAGUUUUUGUUAGCUUUAUUGGAGAUCAAUAUAUAUCUGUAUUUAUAAUAUGCAUUCAACACAAUUUGAAACUCCUAUUUUUCUGUACAUGACAUUAUGCUUUAUAUAAAUACCAAAUCAAGAUACAGUACAAAAUAAACUAUAGGAGGCAGUUUUAGAAUUCUCAGAAUGUGCCAAACAAAAGUGAAAAUUAGACACAAAAUGAACAUGUAAAACCGGUAAUUUCAUCUAUACUAUCAGGUCAAUUGCAAUACCUGGUUCGUCAGCUCAGUCUAACUCAUCUCGGCAAAGUUCGAGAGACAGUUUAAAAAGUUUAGAAGAAGGUGAAGAGUUAAUUGUGGUAUAGUGUGAAGCUAUACCAGAAGAAAUAUUCGACAUGGGAAUAACUCUUCUUCAGAAAAUACUGGAGAUAUUAUCCAACUACAUUAUGUUUGCAACGUUCUUAUCCAGGAAUAACACAAACUAUUUCAACAACAGUAAUACUGUAUCACCAUCUACAGCUGUACAGGCAUCAAGAAAUUAUUUAGGAAUACAAACCGUCCUGCACAGAUACAAUUAUCUAUCAUAAAAGCGCUGCAAUCACCUACUCAAAUUCUCGA